rnacentral:rRNA from 1 species
UACAGAGGUCCCGAGCGUUGUUCGGAUUCAUUGGGCGUAAAGGGUGCGCAGGCGGCGGGGUAAGUCUGAUGUGAAAUCCCGGAGACUCGAACUCCGGAACCUGCACUGGAUACUGCGUCCGCUAGAGUACUGGAGAGGAAACGUGGAAUUUACAGUGUAGCAGUGAAAUGCGUAGAGAUCGUGAAGGAAGACCGUGGCGAAGGCGGAGUUCUGGACAGUUACUGACGCUGAGGCAGCGAAAGGCCAGGGGGAGGCAAACGGGA